GACGAACGCUGGCGGCGUGCUUAACACAUGCGAGUCGAACGGAAAGGCCCUGCUUUUGUGGGGUGCUCGAGUGGCGAACGGGUGAGUAGCACGUGAGUAACCUGCCCUUGACUUUGGGAUAACUUCAGGAAACUGGGGCUAAUACCGGAUAGGAGCUCCUGCUGCAUGGUGGGGGUUGGAAAGUUUCGGCGGUUGGGGAUGGACUCGCGGCUUAUCAGCUUGUUGGUGGGGUAGUGGCUUACCAAGGCUUUGACGGGUAGCCGGCCUGAGAGGGUGACCGGCCACAUUGGGACUGAGAUACGGCCCAGACUCCUACGGGAGGCAGCAGUGGGGAAUAUUGCACAAUGGGCGGAAGCCUGAUGCAGCAACGCCGCGUGCGGGAUGACGGCCUUCGGGUUGUAAACCGCUUUCGCCUGUGACGAAGCGUGAGUGACGGUAAUGGGUAAAGAAGCACCGGCUAACUACGUG
rnacentral:rRNA from 1 species